CUUGCAUUUUACAUACAAGUAGUUUCCACGGGCUACAAUAAAAAGCUCUAUUUUGGCUUAAACUAUUUCCACACAUUGAAAUCCAGUGCGGAAGGCCCCGCAAUAAUGAGGUGCAAGCACAGAGAGCAACAGCUAUUACAAGUCUAAAGCUGAUCACUUUUGUUAAUAAGGAGGGCUAGUACAUAAUUAGGAAGAUAGCACAACUGACACCAUCACGUAAAGGUAGACAAACAGAACAAAAACCAGUUGGGAAUGGGAUUAAACCUUGCAGCUUCUCUUCUGCUUUUAGUCACACAUAAGGUUUAUAGAUACUUUUUCUCCUUAAAAUGCCUGAAGUAUAGUUCUGCAGCUCUCUCCUGCCUCGCACAUAGAACAACAGGCUAGAGCUAGUUAGAGACGCGAUCCUUCUCUUCCUUUGAUAAGGAUGAAGAACAGCUUUGAUAAACACAGAGAGUUACACCAGUAAAAAGCCAACAUAAGGAAAGGGUCAGGCAGUGACGAGCUCUCAGGCAGCUCAAGGGUUGUCCCAGCUUGGCUGACCAAGUGCACGCAGCUUCUGGAGGAGGAGGCCUUGCUGCAGGCUUGCCAUGAGGGUACGAGGUGAGGAAGAGAAGCCCCCCAGGGAGCAGUCACACCUCUGAAAGUCAAAAGAAGAUUCCUCAUACAUACCCUGCUCAAGCAAAAAGCAAAGACUGCCCCAGGACUGAUCUUUUGCUAUUUUUCUUCUCUGCUCUUUGGUGUUCCCUUCCCACCUUUCAGGAGAAACUGUUGCUUCCAAAUGGCAACUUCAUAAGCACCUAUGAGAGAACUUAAUUGGAACUAAUUAGAUGUUGGUUGUCUGGGACCUGCGGAGUCACAGCAAUUACUCAGUCAAGAAACAACUUGGGGGAGGGCAGUGCUUCUUUGCAGGAAAAUGAACUAAGCUGCUCCCUAAAGGAAACUUUUUACAGAGAUGGAACCUUUCAAAGCAUGGAGCAGAGCUCACAGUGAUCUAAAUUAAAGAUUAUUUUUAAAGAAUGUCAGGGAAAAUAUUUCCAUCAACAGUUCUAUCUCAAUAAGCUAUUUAAGUGUUUGAAAAUAUUUUCAAAUGUAGUUUUUGCUGCUUGAUUCUGCGCUAUUUAAAAAUUAACUUCCACCCACGUAGCUUUCCAGGGAGCUUGCAGGAUUAUGACCCUGCAGUAGUUCCUUGGCUUUACGUUCAGUGCAGCCCGGCUGCGCUGGGAUGUGAUGUGCUGGGGUCGGGCAGGCCAAGGGGACCUGUAUGUAUACGCUUUUAGUAGCAACUUUGCUGAUUUUGCUGUUUUGUCCUUUACUAAGAGAAAAGUGUGGCAGUAGGAUGCUUUCCUUUGAACAAUUCCUGCAGACUAACAGGUAUGAAUGCUGCAUGUACCAGAACCACUGUUCAUCAAGCUCACUUCUCAGCUCCUGCUUCUGUUUCAUGAAAUCUACACCUGAAGUAUUAAAAAACUACAACACUCCAUAGAUCUGUAUCUACCAUCUUCUAUUAUAUUCCUUUUACUCUCUAACAGUGUACAAGAGCCUGUUCCAGCCAGCUUUACUGAAGUAAAGAUUCUGUCGUCAGCAAGAGAAUGUGUGGUAAAAGUUUUGUCAUGAGUUGCAGUAAUGUGGCUGCAAGUAGGAAAUUCUGAUUUAAGCCUGAUGGGACUGAAAAAUAUGCCCCUCCCUAAAGCAGAGAACUAUAUAGCUCUGUAAAAUAACAUACCUCCAAGGAUGGUUAAAAAUCAGGGGUUUCUGAGCAGUAUUAGUAUGAAAUCUUGACUGUUUCUUUCUUCUGAAAAUAAUGGAAUGUGCAGUUUGAGGCAUUCUCAGCAACAUAUUAUCCCCAUGAGAAGCAGAUGAAUAUUUAAAUUGCAUCGCAGCUGAAGAUGUUUGUAAGAAGACUGCUGUCAAGCCAUCUAUCUAGCUUCCAGUACGUGCAUGUAAGUGCUCUGUAGUACUGCAGACAGCCUGCCUCGGGCUUUUGAUCUGAGAUCUUACAAAAGCCAUGCAAGAGUUGAUGGAGUUAGCAGUUGAAAAGGAGCAUCCUGAGGAAGAAACUACAUCACAGCAAUUGCUGCAAAGAUGUCGUGGGUGGCAGUCCCGAAACAGAGCAGUCUUGUAUCAAGGAACAUGGGGCUGCUGGACAUCGCUGUGUUUCUCACAGAAGAGUUACGGGAAGGAUUUUGUCAAUCUGUGCUUGUAAUAGUUUGAGCUCAAAGACGUCAGAAAUGGCUGCACUUAAUGAUAGCUUUACAGACGUAACUUGGUGCUCCAGGUACACACACAGCAGUCAGUUCAACGCUACUGCUCCAGCACUGACCUCAGAAACUGCCUGCAGCGGUCCAAGUUCAAGAGGCAGACCCCAGUGUGUCAGGCAUUACAAAGCACCCCAAGAUACUAUUUCAACUACAACUGCUAAGAGGUUAGCGUUACUCUAAGCUGGUGUGCCUUCCUAAGGCAGCUUUAAACGAGAAAUCCUCUGGCAGUCCCCACCCCCUCCCAGCAACCCGAAACAUAAAAACUGGAGCAUGCCACUUUAAAACUAGCCUAUUUAGGCCACAGAUGCUAAAUGAAUUCAGCAGACAGACGGAGUAAUGGAAUGUCAGUGUUCCAGUCUGCUGCCUUGAAGCAAUAGGUUUCUUUUUAUUAUUAAUUUCUCCUCUCAUUUUCCAAUGCUGCCUCUGGGCUCCAUGCUUUAGAUGCAGUAUUCUUGUCAGUCUCGCUAACCCAAUUUGGAAAUAAUUAAAUUUUAAAAUAUUAAAGGGAUUAUAAAUACUUCCCACCCCACUUCCCCCGCCCCACUCCCUUUUAUACUGUCCCUAUAAAACUGCUGAAUUUUGCUUCAGGACUUAAAAUGUGUUACUGCAGAAUCUGAUUUGUUGCUGCAGUUUCCUUUGCAAAGGCUGUAGAAUAUCUGAAGGGGAGAAAAAAAAAAAAAAAAAAAGGAGUUAAUUCCAGUAAAAGUAAAAGGUGCCCAGAAGUCUUAUGAGAUGAAGAGCUCUGCCAUCCUGACACCUUGGAACCUGAUCUUACUCCUGUUGAAAUUAAUGCUAAGACUGUCAACCUUGUCCUUACUGUGGCAGCUUGCUGUCCACCAGGACCCCAGGCUCUCCUCCGCAAAGCACUUUUCCAGCCACUCAGCCCACGGCACCCUCAGCACGUACGGGUGCCUGCGGUUAUUCUUCCCCAGGUGCAGGAAGAAUUUGCAUUUCCUUUAGUUGAGCCUGAUGAGGUGCUUCCCUGACCAGCUCUCCAGCGUGUGUGGGUACCUCUGAGCAGGCACAGCCGCCACAUCCAUCCUCCUCGUCGGCAUCUGCAGGCUGCUGUGGGCACACUCUGCCCCAUCAUCCCACCUAUCGACAGAGAUGUUACACAGCCCCAGCCCCGGGCACACCGCUGCUGACCUGGCUCCAAAAGAGCCUUGUGCCUCUGAUCACAGCCCCCUGGGCCCAGCCAUUCAGCCUCAGUCCUCCUCCGUUUAUCUUAACUGGAUUAUUUUUACCAUUAUGCUCUCUAGUACGUAAAGAAAGUAACUGAAUCUUGGCACUGUCCCUAUAUAUAGUAUCCUGCUCUUGAAUACUAUCAUCAUCAUCAGGGCCCUUUGCUGGUUUAAUUUUAGGCCUCACAGUCCCAGAUAUCCUCACAGAUACAAAUGUACACUUUGCAUUUCACUGCUGUGAAGAGCGAGGCAGAAAAGCGAUGUAACUUGCCAAAGAUCAAACAGCAAAAUGAGAGGCAGAGCUGUGAACAGAUCCGAGGAGCCCUGUCACACAAACCCUAGAAAACACGCUGUCACUCUGAUGUACGGCUGCUUCAGCUGCCCCCAAACUACAAAUACCUGCUGGAGAACUUUGCCUCAUGCUGGUCCACCAAUACAAAA